GUGUCAGCCGCCGCGGUAAUACGUAGGGUGCGAGCGUUAAUCGGAAUUACUGGGCGUAAAGCGUGCGCAGGCGGCCUGAUAAGUCAGAUGUGAAAUCCCCGAGCUCAACUUGGGAACUGCGUUUGAAACUAUCAAGCUAGAAUAUGUCAGAGGGGGGUAGAAUUCCACGUGUAGCAGUGAAAUGCGUAGAGAUGUGGAGGAAUACCAAUGGCGAAGGCAGCCCCCUGGGAUAAUAUUGACGCUCAUGCACGAAAGCGUGGGGAGCAAACAGGAUUAGAUACCCUGGUAGUCC
rnacentral:rRNA from 1 species